GAUCAUUACCUAGAGUUGUAGGCUUUGCCUGCUAUCUCUUACCCAUGUCUUUUAAGUACCUUACGUUUCCUCGGCGGGUCCGCCCGCCGAUUGGACAAUUUAAACCAUUUGCAGUUGCAAUCAGCGUCUGAAAAAACUUAAUAGUUACAACUUUCAACAACGGAUCUCUUGGUUCUGGCAUCGAUGAAGAACGCAGCGAAAUGCGAUAAGUAGUGUGAAUUGCAGAAUUCAGUGAAUCAUCGAAUCUUUGAACGCACAUUGCGCCCCUUGGUAUUCCAUGGGGCAUGCCUGUUCGAGCGUCAUUUGUACCUUCAAGCUCUGCUUGGUGUUGGGUGUUUGUCUCGCCUCUGCGUGUAGACUCGCCUCAAAACAAUUGGCAGCCGGCGUAUUGAUUUCGGAGCGCAGUACAUCUCGCGCUUUGCACUCAUAACGACGACGUCCAAAAGUACAUUUUUACACUCUUGACCUCGGAUCAGGUAGGGAUACCCGCUGAACUUAAGCAUAUCAAUAAGCGGAGGAA
rnacentral:rRNA from 1 species